rnacentral:ribozyme from 12 species
UUUUCUCAUUUUUUUCUCAUUUUUUUUUUUUUUGGCUUUUUUUCCUCAUCCCUCGACCUGUUUUCGUCUAUUUAGUAUAAAAAGACUAAGGUUGAGCACUCUAUUGAUAUAAUUAAAUGAUGUAACAAGAGUUUGGUCCACUAGCCCCACCAUCGUCCUUGACAAAGCGGAAAAGAAAGUGAGGCAGGACCUUAACUCUCAUCAACACUAAUUGUCUUUACAGCAUGCAGAAGCAGUGAUCACUGACAGACAGCUCCAGAAAUGUAAUGAACAAAUUUCUGCAGUAAUUCUAGAAAAACC